rnacentral:rRNA from 1 species
AUUGAACGCUGGCGGCAUGCCUUACACAUGCAAGUCGAACGGCAGCACGGGCGCAAUCCUGGUAGCGAGUGGCGAACGGGUGAGUAAUGCGUCGGAAAAUGCCGAGGAGUGGGGGAGAACGCAUCGAAAGGUGUGCUAAUACCGCAUACGGACUGAGGUCGGUCGUGGGGGACCUUCGGGCCUGACGCAAUUCGCGCGGUGGACGUCUGAUUAGCUAGGUGGUGAGGUAAAGGCUCACCAAGGGCACGAUCAGUAGCGGGUCUGAGAGGAUGAUCCGCCAGGCUGGGACUGAGACACGGCCCAGACGACUACGGGAGGCAGCGGUGAAGAAUUUUGGACAAUGGGGGCAAGCCUGAUCCAGCUAGGCCGCGUGCAGGAUGAAGGCCGUCGGGUUGUAAACUGCUUUUGUACGGAACUAGAAGGUUUGGCCUAAUACGCUAAUCUGAUGACGGUACCGUAAGAAUAAGCACCGGCUACCUACGUGCCAGCCGCCGCGGUAAUAC